rnacentral:rRNA from 1 species
AUUGAACGCUGGCGGCAUGCUUUACACAUGCAAGUCGAACGGUAACAGGCCGCAAGGUGCUGACGAGUGGCGAACGGGUGAGUAAUGCAUCGGAACGUGCCCAGUCGUGGGGGAUAACUACUCGAAAGAGUAGCUAAUACCGCAUACGAUCUAUGGAUGAAAGCGGGGGACCGUAAGGCCUCGCGCGAUUGGAGCGGCCGAUGUCAGAUUAGGUAGUUGGUGGGGUAAAGGCUCACCAAGCCAACGAUCUGUAGCUGGUCUGAGAGGAUAACCAGCCACACUGGGACUGAGACACGGCCCAGACUCCUACGGGAGGCAGCAGUGGGGAAUUUUGGACAAUGGGCGCAAGCCUGAUCCAGCAAUGCCGCGUGCAGGAAGAAGGCCUUCGGGUUGUAAACUGCUUUUGUACGGAACGAAACGGCUCUGGUUAAUACCCGGGGCUAAUGACGGUACCGUAAGAAUAAGCACCGGCUAACUACGUG